rnacentral:rRNA from 1 species
AGAGUUUGAUCAUGGCUCAGGAUGAACGCUGGCGGCGUGCCUAACACAUGCAAGUCGAGCGAUUCACUUCGGUGAAGAGCGGCGGACGGGUGAGUAACGCGUGGGUAACCUGCCUCAUACACAUGGAUAACAUACCGAAAGGUAUGCUAAUACAAGAUGAUAUAAGAGAUUCGCAUGGAUUUCUUAUCAAAGCUCCGGCGGUAUGAGAUGGACCCGCGUCUGAUUAGCUAGUUGGUAAGGUAACGGCUUACCAAGGCGACGAUCAGUAGCCGACCUGAGAGGGUGAUCGGCCACAUUGGAACUGAGACACGGUCCAAACUCCUACGGGAGGCAGCAGUGGGGAAUAUUGCACAAUGGGCGGAAGCCUGAUGCAGCAACGCCGCGUGAGCGAUGAAGGCCUUCGGGUCGUAAAGCUCUGUCCUCAAGGAAGAUAAUGACGGUACUUGAGGAGGAAGCCCCGGCUAACUACGUGCCAGCAGCCGCGGUAAUACGUAGGGGGCUAGCGUUAUCCGGAUUUACUGGGCGUAAAGGGUGCGUAGGUGGUUUCUUAAGUCAGGAGUGAAAGGCUACGGCUCAACCGUAGUAAGCUCUUGAAACUGGGAAACUUGAGUGCAGGAGAGGAAAGUGGAAUUCCUAGUGUAGCGGUGAAAUGCGUAGAUAUUAGGAGGAACACCAGUAGCGAAGGCGGCUUUCUGGACUGUAACUGACACUGAGGCACGAAAGCGUGGGGAGCAAACAGGAUUAGAUACCCUGGUAGUCCACGCCGUAAACGAUGAGUACUAGGUGUCGGGGGUUACCCCCCUCGGUGCCGCAGCUAACGCAUUAAGUACUCCGCCUGGGGAGUAC